GACGAACGCUGGCGGCGUGCCUAAUACAUGCAAGUUGAGCGCUGAAGGUUGGUACUUGUACCAACUGGAUGAGCAGCGAACGGGUGAGUAACGCGUGGGGAAUCUGCCUUUGAGCGGGGGACAACAUUUGGAAACGAAUGCUAAUACCGCAUAAAAACUUUAAACACAAGUUUUAAGUUUGAAAGAUGCAAUUGCAUCACUCAAAGAUGAUCCCGCGUUGUAUUAGCUAGUUGGUGAGGUAAAGGCUCACAAAGGCGAUGAUACAUAGCCGACCUGAGAGGGUGAUCGGCCACAUUGGGACUGAGACACGGCCCAAACUCCUACGGGAGGCAGCGGUAGGGAAUCUUCGGCAAUGGACGAAAGUCUGACCGAGCAACGCCGCGUGAGUGAAGAAGGUUUUCGGAUCGUAAAACUCUGUUGGUAGAGAAGAACGUUGGUGAGAGUGGAAAGCUCAUCAAGUGACGGUAACUACCCAGAAAGGGACGGCUAACUACGUG
rnacentral:rRNA from 1 species